UUUUAUUAAUAAAUUGAUUAUUUAAUUUUAAUAAAAAUUUUUUCCUUUGGCUUUGCAUGUACAUUUUAACGUGUAUUUGUCCCUAUUUACAAAAUGUGUUGCAGGGAUUUUGAUAGAAAUUACUUUAAAGCUAAAGAUCAUUUUGGUGGGAAUUGACAUUUUGUUGAGUCUUGCGGUUUAUGAAUAUGUCUUGGUCCCCAGUUCCCGGAGAGGUGAAGGAGUGUGCCCAGGGCCACACAGGAAAAGAGAGUCUUCUGUGCCUCCAAUACCGACAGAAAUAGUCCUUGUAUGGACUCAUUUCUGGCCCAGGAUCCAGACCCCACACGAAAGGGUAAGUUCUCAUUAUUGACAACAACUGGGUUAACCUGCUAGGAAGGGUGUGCUAGUCAGGGGAACAGGAGUGUGUGAGUACUUGGAGGUGAGACUGAGUUGAGAAUGUUCAAGGUUUCCAUGAUACCUGUGAGAACAGAAAAUAGUGGGGCAGAAGUCAGGCCUGGAGUGACAGCCUAAGGAGCUAGGCCUUUCUUCUGAAAAUUUGCAGCAGGGCAUUCAGGUGAUUUUGAGACAGCCAGGUGGGAGGGGGGUCCCUCGAAAACCACCAACCAGCCUGCCCACUGGUGUGAAGCCUUGGGAAGUUCGCCAUUUGCAGCGAGGAGGAGCCUGGCCCCUCCUCUUCUUGUGUGGAACCUGGGAUUCA